rnacentral:ncRNA from 2 species
UCUGAUUGGCCGCAAUGGUCGUACGUAUUUUUACGUUCACUGUGAACAAAUCAGGACGCUUAGAGUAUGGCCACAUGAAUGACUCAGCGCAGUAUGAAGUCUUUGUUUUCUUCCGAAAACAAGCUCAAUGAGAGCCAUCGGGGGUAGAUCUAUCUCAUGACGAGUGGUGGAAUACUUUGACUCAUGAGAGAGAAGCUGAGGCGAAGGCGUCUACCUAGAGGGUUUCUGUCGAUCAAGGGCGAGAGUAGGAGUAUCCAACAGGAUUAGAGACCCUGGUAGUUCCUACCUUAAACGAUGCCGACAGGAGUUUGUCAUUUGUUAAUGGCAGAAUCUUUGGAGAAAUCAUAGUUCUUGGGCUCUGGGGGAACUACGACCGCAAGGCUGAAACUUGAAGGAAUUGACGGAAGGGCACACCAGGGGUGGAGCCUGUGGCUUAAUUUGAAUCAACACGGGGAAACUUACCAGGACCAGAUGUUUUUUAUGACUGACAGGCUUCGGGUCUUUCAGGAUAUUGUUUUUGGUGGUGCAUGGCCGUUGGUGGUGCGUGGGUUGACCUGUCUAGCGUUGAUUCAGCUAACGAGCGAGAUUAUCGCCAAUUAUUUACUUUGCCGAAGUCCUUCGGUUAAAGUUCUAAUUGGGACUCCCUGCGAUUUUAGCAGGUGGAAGAGGGUAGCAAUAACAGGUCCGUGAUGCCCUUUAGAUGCUCUGGGCUGCACGCGUGCUACAAUGUUAGGAUCAAUAGGACUGCGAGCCUGAGAGGGUGCGCUACUCUUAUAAUCCCUAACGUAGUUGGGAUUGACGUUUGUAAUCAGCGUCAUGAACCAGGAAUCCCUUGUAAAUGUGUGUCAACAACGCACGUUGAAUACGUCCCUGCCCUUUGUACACACCGCCCGUCGCUCCUACCGAUUGGAUGACUCGGUGAAAUCACCGGAUGCUUACGAGCAGAAAGUGAUUAAAUCACGUUAUCUAGAAGAAGGAGAAGUC